UGCAUUUCUUUCUUUGUGCUAUCGAUUUAGGCUGCGCUCCUGUUGCCCCUGGGCCGGCCCCUUGCAGCGAACCAGCAGCUGAAAUUUAGCCGCCAGGCGAGUCGCAGCGAGGGCUGCGAGCCGGCUUCGCCGGGGUCCGCCGGAGCCGGGAGCCUUGAACAAUCAGAGGGCCAGGACCGUCCCGCCGCCCGGUUCCUUCCCGAACCCAACUCCGUGAGCCUACUGCGCAGGCGCCGGAGAUCCCUGCGGCCUGUUGAGUGGUGCUGAGUUUUUUUUCGGAGCUAGGUUACAGACCCGGACUUCUACCCGGAGGUGCAUUUAAAACAGAUUCCACUCCAGGAGGAGAGACUUUGUGGUAGCCGUUUCUGCUGCUAAUGGCGGCAGGAAAAUAAAGCGCUGAAGCACAGAAGAUGGAGAGAGGAUGAUGACAGCAACCAUUUCCCAUGGAUGCAGAAGGAGAGGAACGCAUCUUCGGCAGAGAUAGGAAACUGCCAUUCAGUGACAUCUUACCCAUGAGCUGAAAUAUCCCCCACCCUCGUCAGCCCGAAGAGCAAUCAGGAUUCCCUGCCCUGUGGGAAGUCCAAGGACCACCCACCUCCAUCCAGGUCUAGUAAGCGUCACUUGAUUAGCCGAGACACUACUUUAGCGUGACCAGUUGGAACGAAUGACCUCAAAGAAUAUGGGUGAAGGUCCUGCCACAGACAAGCCGGAGGACACCGUUUCCGAUAGAUAAGUGGAGAACAAAAUACUUGACUUGUAACUUAGCCUCCGUCAUGGAUAAAUCCAUACCAAGUCCUCAGUGACUACUCCUUCUGACGGGGUGUCACAUUUCACGUUUUUAAAAAUAGCUUCUUUUGCUGACAUGUAAACUGCUUUUACAGAGUGAGCACUUGAUGUGAUUUGCACCUAAGCUUAAAGCCUUCGUUUUACAGAAAUACUCCUACUUCCAAAUAUUACCCUAAAAAUGAAGAAACAAGAGACUAAAUACUGCAACAUCAACUUAAUGACAUGUGGCUACAUUUUAAAUUUUUAAAUCUAAUAGUGAACCAGAAACAUCAAUUUUCUUGUCUUCUUGCAAGCCUUAAAUACACUGUGCCUAGUUCAGGGUUAAGGAGGGGGUUGGAUAUAUGCAGUAACUGCCAGCACUCUGGAUCUUUUUAAGGUGAUCAUAAAGACUAGUUUUUUUUUCUUCAGUGUGUGUAUGCACUUGUGUGUGUGUGUGUGUGUGUGUGUGUGUGUUGU